CCUACGGGUGGCAGCAGUGGGGAAUAUUGGACAAUGGAGGAAACUCUGACCCAGCAACGCCGCGUGAGUGAUGAAGUAUUUCGGUAUGUAAAGCUCUAUCCGCAGGGAAGAAAGAAGUGACGGUACCUUACUAAUAAGCCCCGGCUAACUACGUGCCAGCAGCCGCGGUAAUACGUAGGGGGCAAGCGUUAUCCGGAUUUACUGGGCGUAAAGGGAGCGUAGGCGGCGAUGCAAGUCUGAAGUGAAAGGCGGGGGCCCAACCCCCGGACUGCUAUGGAAACUGUUUGGCUGGAGUGCAGGAGAGGCAAGCGGAAUUCCUAGUGUAGCGGUGAAAUGCGUAGAUAUUAGGAGGAACACCAGUGGCGAAGGCGGCUUACUGGACUGUAACUGACGUUGAGGCUCGAAAGCGUGGGGAGCAAACAGGAUUAGAUACCCUGGUAGUC
rnacentral:rRNA from 1 species